AUCAGAGACGUCAAAGGUUCACGGUGAAAGCUGUAGGAACAAGUCUUCCGCUUCAACUCUGGGACUGUUGCCAUCUCUAUCAGUGAACAAGCUCUGGAAUGUACCUGAGAAAUGAUAUGCAUGCAGGGAUUAGUUCUUUUUUUCUUUUUUUUCUUUUUUUUUGUUUUUUUUGUAUCCCUUUUUUAUUGCGUUUCUUUUGAAAAAUAAAUAUGCUAUGAUGCAAAUGAUGCAGACACGACUGGUUGGCUGUGUCCCUCGGAACACAGGAUCAAAGCUUCGGCUUGAACUCGGAACCACAAAUUCAUCUGAAACCCAAAGUCAUUUGAGACCCCAAAAUUCUGAACCAAUAGUCACCAACAGGAUCACAAGUCACCAACAAGUCACCAACAAGUCAC
rnacentral:lncRNA from 1 species